rnacentral:rRNA from 1 species
GGUUAACGCUGGCGGCGUGCCUAACACAUGCAAGUCGAACGGUUCUAAGCGCGAGCUUAGGAUAGUGGCGAACGGGUGAGUAAAAGGUAGGAAUCUACCCCUUGGACGGAGAUAGCUACUGGAAACGGUAGGUAAACUUCGAUAAGCCCGAGAGGGGAAAGUGGUGAGACAGCCGAGGGAUGAGCCUACUCUCCAUCAGGUAGUUGGUGAGAUAAAAGCUUACCAAGCCGAUGACGGAUAACCGGUGUGAGAGCAUGAACGGUCACAAGGGCACUGAGAGACGGGCCCUACUCCUACGGGAGGCAGCAGUGGGGAAUCUUGGACAAUGGGCGAAAGCCUGAUCCAGCGACGCCGCGUGGAGGAAGAAGUCCUUCGGGAUGUAAACUUCUGAACUAGCCGAAUAAAAGGACCUGUGGACACACAGGAGAAGAAAGUAGGCUAGGAAAAGUACCCGGCUAACUACGUAG